GACGAACGCUGGCGGCGUGCUUAACACAUGCAAGUCGAACGGAAAGGCCCUGCUUUUGUGGGGUGCUCGAGUGGCGAACGGGUGAGUAACACGUGAGUAACCUGCCCUUGACUUUGGGAUAACUUCAGGAAACUGGGGCUAAUACCGGAUAGGAGCUCCUGCUGCAUGGUGGGGGUUGGAAAGUUUCGGCGGUUGGGGAUGGACUCGCGGCUUAUCAGCUUGUUGGUGGGGUAGUGGCUUACCAAGGCUUUGACGGGUAGCCGGCCUGAGAGGGUGACCGGACACAUUGGGACUGAGAUACGGCCCAGACUACUACGGGAGGCAGAAGUGGGGAAUAUUGCACAAUGGGCGGAAGCCUGAUGCAGCAACGCCGCGUGCGGGAUGACGGCCUUCGGGUUGUAAACCGCUUUCGCCUGUGACGAAGCGUGAGUGACGGUAAUGGGUAAAGAAGCACCGGCUAACUACGUG
rnacentral:rRNA from 1 species